GCCGGCUUAGCUCAAUUGGUAGAGCAACUGACUUGUAAUCAGUAGGUUGAGGGUUCAAGUCCUUU
rnacentral:tRNA from 1 species